GUUGAACGCUAGCUACAGGCUUAACACAUGCAAGUCGAGCGACCGGCGCACGGGAGAGUAAUACGUAACCAACCCGCCUUGUACUCGAGGAUAGCUUUUCGAAAGAAAGAUUAACACCCGCUGUAAAGGAUGGGUAUGCAUUCCAUUAGGUUGUUGGUGAGGUAACGGCUCACCAAGCCUUCGAUGGCUAGGGGUGCUGAGAGCAAGGGACCCCACAAUGGAACUACGACCCAGUCCAAUAUCCUACGGGGGGCAGCAGUAAGUGAUAUUUGUGAAUGAGCGUUAGCCUGAACCAGCCAAGUAUCGUGAGGGAUGAAGGCUUAUGGGUCGUAAACUUCUAUUAUAUAAGAAUAUGUAUUAUAUGAAUAAGGAUCGGCUAACUCCGUGCCAGCCGCCGCGGUAAUAC
rnacentral:rRNA from 1 species